rnacentral:rRNA from 1 species
CCUACGGGUGGCAGCAGUGAGGAAUAUUGGUCAAUGGACGAGAGUCUGAACCAGCCAAGCAGCGUGAAGGAUGACUGUCCCGUGGGUUGUAAACUUCUUUUAUCUGGGAAUAAAAUGUUCCACGUGUGGGAUUUUGUAUGUACCUGAUGAAUAAGCAUCGGCUAACUCCGUGCCAGCAGCCGCGGUAAUACGGAGGAUGCGAGCGUUAUCCGGAUUUAUUGGGUUUAAAGGGGGCGUAGGCGGUUUUGUAAGUCAGUUGUCAAAGUCUGGGGCUCAACCGUCGAAUUGCAGUUGAAACUGGCAGUCUUGAGUACGAUAGAGGUGUGCGGAAUGCGUGGUGUAGCGGUGAAAUGCUUAGAUAUCGCGAAGAACUCCGAUUGCGAAGGCAG